rnacentral:lncRNA from 1 species
GUCUGUCCAAUGGAAAAGUCGAAGCCCAAAAAAGAUGAACAGUGCAUUAUAGAAACAUAGAAGCUGGUUGCAAAAGUUGACGACAAGAUCUUUUUUUAUAACUUGAGUAUGGCCUAAUACUAUUAACCUGAAAUAAAUAUAUUUAUAGCAAUUCCCUUGAUACGAAAGAUCUACAUGUUGCCUUGGGCUUUUUUUUUUCUUUUUUUUUUUUUGCUCUUUGGUUGGGUUUUUGUCUCAAUGACAAUUCAAUUUUCAUUCUUAUCAUAGAUAUAACUGCAUGUUAAAAUAAGAAUAUGAAGUGUGAUAGGCAAUCAGACACAUUCUUUCCAGGGACCAACAGGCGUUAUCAAGCUAUAGGUCCCCGUAUGGCCUUCGACCAUUAGCAAAAUACACACUUUAUAGAAUGAAAGCUCCAAGAGGUCUUGGGAUGAAAAAAACAAACAUAAAAGAUGAGCGAGAAAAAAAAAUAGGGAUACCGCAUGGAAAUUGGAAAAUGGUCCGCAACAUUAAUUUAGUCAACUCACUUAGUUGAAAUUAAAGACCUGGCGAAUUUUAGCCUUUUGCAAUGGAUGUGAUGUAUGUUUAAAAAAAAAAUCAUGGUUUGUUUGGACAUUUUUAUAAAUCAAGUCUUGUUUUUAAAUUAUUUGCAAGUAAGUUUUAAGUCAUGAACAAAUAAUCACUCACAGAAAGACGUCAAAUCCAUCAACAAAAGAAAAAAAUUAAUAGACGACCGACAACGCACAGAAUAUCAUGUAUGUGUUCCGGACCAUAUGAGUAUUUGGACCAUACGCAUAUA